rnacentral:rRNA from 1 species
AGCGGCGGACGGGUGAGUAACGCGUGGGUAACCUGCCUCAUACAGGGGAGUAACAGUUGGAACGGCUGCUAAUACCGCAUAAGCGCACAGUACCGCAUGGUACGGUGUGAGAAACUCCGGUGGUAUGAGAUGGACCCGCGUCUGAUUAGGUGGUUGGUGGGGUAACGGCCUACCAAGCCGACGAUCAGUAGCCGACCUGAGAGGGUGACCGGCCACAUUGGGACUGAGACACGGCCCAA